CGUAUACCCUGUAAUCUGCACGUGACGUUGGCAAGAAACGUGACAUGAUUGUAUUGUUGUUUGCGUUCGUUGGCUACUGCGCACCUUGCGACGCCACACCAUUGACGUUGCUGAAGCGGUAGCCGCGUCGUAAUUUUCGAACUCGGGGCCCAUCAAAGCACAUACGCACAAAGUAGGUAUAGCAGUUCAUAAUUCAGCAGAAAUCUGCGUCAGUGCACUGGCAUCGCAAAAGGAGCUGUUCCAACUUUCAGCUGUUCAACCAGAGACCUCUUCAAACUGGGUUGAGGCGAUCGAAUGGCUACGAAAGGAGACGAUUGUUAUUUCUAUUAUAAUACUGAAUGUGUGAAGGGUGACCAAUGCCCUUUCCGUCACAGUCAAGCUGCACUCGCCGUUGAAGAGUGAGUUGUUGUGUUGCUUUGAGAUUCAAUCGAGUGGCUGCCUCAAGCCCAACUGUCCUUUCAAGCAUUUCAAGCCGAGAAAUGUGAGCACACUGGGAACGAGCUCGAUGCCGGUGAUGUCAACGACACAGCCAGUUGUUGCUGUCAAACCGUCUGUUCGUGCUUCUACCAACUUGGUUCAAGCAAUUUCCUUGGAGUUGGAAAGGAAGGGAUGAUGUCUCUAUCAGCCCAGUCAGACAACAAAGGAACAUCAAAUUUGACUGUUAGUGGGCAGAUAGUCACACCAACAAAACCGAUCGGAGCAUCUUCUUCUGUGUGCAGUUUGGCAUGGGAAUGGUCUGCUAACCACAUAAAUCAGGAAUUGGGUAUAGCAAUUGAGUUUUAGAGCAGCAGCUGAAAAAAUUCUUGGACAUGUGAAGAAGAUUGCACAUAUUUGGAAGGUUGGAUCAAUGAAUGGCAUGUCAAAGUAGUGUCCAGCAAAAUCAUGCCACUAUUCAAGCUGCUAGUGCAACAGCUGUGACAUUUGUUUACCAGUUUACGAUGCUGUAUAAUUCAAUUCUAACCAGUUAUAGUCAUUACCGGUUGGAUAUAAUAAUAUAAAUACACACACACACACACACACACACACACACACACACACACACACACACACCACAUGUAUAAUAACCUAAGUGUAUACUGAGCACUGAUAACAAUCUGUGGCCAAUCAGUACCGAGUAGCAAGUCAAAUAACAACCUGUUUGUAGUUGUGUGUGUGUACAAUGUUGCAUUUAGUAACUCUUGCAUACUGCUUCAAGUGUGCUAUAGCGAAUUACGGUUAAUUAGUAAAAUU